rnacentral:rRNA from 1 species
UGAACGCUGGCGGCGUGCUUAACACAUGCAAGUCGUACGAGAACUCUUUAGCUUGCUAAAGAUAGUAAAGUGGCGCACGGGUGAGUAACGCGUGGGUAAUCUACCUCCGAAUUGGGGAUAACAUUGCGAAAGCGAUGCUAAUACCGGAUAAUAUCUCAAAAACUCCGGUUUUAUAGAUCAAAGGUGGCCUCUACAUGUAAGCUACUGUUUGGAGAUGAGCCCGCGUACCAUUAGCUUGUUGGUAGGGUAAAGGCCUACCAAGGCUUCGAUGGUUAGCUGGUCUGAGAGGAUGAUCAGCCACACUGGAACUGACACACGGUCCAGACUCCUACGGGAGGCAGCAGUGGGGAAUUUUGCGCAAUGGGGGAAACCCUGACGCAGCAACGCCGCGUGAGUGAUGAAGGCUUUCGGGUCGUAAAGCUCUGUCAAGUGGGAAGAACAUGGUCGAUGCUAAUAUCAUCGAUCACUGACGGUACCACUAAAGGAAGCACCGGCUAACUCC